GCCCCUGUUGUUGAUGAAACAUGAUUAAAAAUAUAUAAAUUGGAUGAUCCUAGCCAUCUGGUUGGCAGAUUCCAAACCAACAGUCCAAAGAAAUUUAGGCUAGUUUUACAUAACCCAAAAAAAAAUAAAAAUGAAGGGAACAUGAUUUAAGAUGGGUCCUACUAGAUGGACGGUCUCAAUUGACACAUGACCAUAACCCCAUGUGCAGUAAAGGGAUGGCUCUACUUUAUUAACUUUCUUGUUUUAUUGCCAUUUCCUUUUGUAGUGGUAUGCCCACAAGGACCUCCCUUGUUACAGAUGAUCAAUCCAUCUGAUGCUUCUAAGCAUAAAUGAUCAUAACAAAAACAGGUAGGGCAACUCAUCAAGUGGGCCACACAUUUAUAAAAAAAUUAAAAAUUAAAAAUGAUUUAGAAAAGUAUAGCAAUUGCUCGCAUGCUCUACUUGUCGGCGGUUUCUUCUAGUUAAUCGCUAUCUUUGGAGUGUUCAAAUUUGAGAAAUGAUCCAUUUAGCUAAGUGUAUAGAAACCAACACAUGUACAUUGUUGCAUUUGGCAUCCAAAGUCCCCCUAUCUAGAUAAUUAUUUGCUUCACUUUCGAGUUUCAUCCAACUAUUUUCUUUGUGAAGGACCAUCGGAAUGGGAGAUUACUGAGGCAUGACUUGAAGAAAGGCGAUUUCUACCAUCUAAUGGCAACUCCAAAUUCCUUGCACUUAUCAUCUAAGUCUUGUCAUCCAACAAUAUGAACAUCGGUAGGGGAGAUUACUGCUGCAUGACUCGAAGGAAGGUGAUUUCUAUCAUCUAGAGGCAACCCCAAAUUUCUUGCAUUUAUCAUCAAAGUCUUGUCAUCCAACAAUGUGUACGGUUCAUCAUGUGCUGCCUCACUUUUAAUUUCCUGUCUCCAUUAAAUCUAUGGACUCUAGUUCCUUUUUAUGUUAUAUUUGUACCCAAUAAACCUUUGGAAUUUGUACUUUCUAUAUCUAGUGACGAACUCUGUUUUACUAUUGGAUAUAAUGAAUGAUGUUAGUAGAUUUUUAUUGGGAAAGCUUGGAGCAUUUCAUUAAUGAUGUUAGUAAAUUUACAUGGUA